AAGCUAAAAAAUUAUAUUUAUAUAUUAUGUCAAUUUAGAUAUCCAAGAGUAAAGUUAAAUAUACGUACUUCUCUUUAUUUUAAUAUCUGAAAAGAAAAGAACAACGGAAAACAAAAUAGUGACUAAGAAUAUAAUAUUUGAAAUCCUAUCUAGCUAGUAACAAACUUGGGGAAGUCCUAAAUCAUCUAGUAUAAUUUACUAGAGAUUAAAAAAACUUUUGGUAACUAACGCCCUUUUUCAUCAAUUUAUCUUCGAGCUUGGCCUCUUGAUCCUUCAAUUUAUUGACUUGAUUUGAGGCAUCAAAUCUAUCUUUGAUAGUAUCAAGUCCAUGAUGUUGUUGUACUUGUUCAAGUUGUUUAAUGUAGUUUGAUCGCUCUUGUAUCUGUUCUCUCACUUGUUCCAACUUAUUCUUUAAGUUCUCGUUGUUGUUUCUUGAGGUAGACAUCCUCGCUUAGCUUUUGGAAUAUAUGUGAAACUAGAAUUGCUGCAAUAUGUAACAUAAUUAAAUAGAUUAAUUAAACAAAAAAAUAGUUUGUCCAUAUGGAAAAAAAAAAAAGACAAAGAAGAAAAACAUUAUUGCUAAGUCUUAAGCUAAAGGAAGAAAUAAGAAUCAUCACAAAGUGAAAGAAAACUCACGUUAAUUAGCCUAACUCCGUUUAUUUGGAAGAAGGC
rnacentral:lncRNA from 1 species